rnacentral:lncRNA from 1 species
UAAUACAUGUGCUAGUCUAAUAUUCAUGUGUCUUCUCACAUGAACUCCGACUAGGGACAACUUUAGAAUAACCAUACAAGUAAAGAGUUUCACAUACAAUUCACAUAAUUGCAAAUCAAUUCAAGUAGCCUUUAUUGGAUAUUCAAUGAACACAAUAUACAAAUCAUGGAUACAAAUGGAAUAUCAUCAUCUCUAUGAUUGCCUCUAGGGCAUACCUCCAACAGUCUCCUACUUGCACUAGAGUCAAUCUAGAAG